rnacentral:rRNA from 1 species
AAAUUGAAGAGUUUGAUCAUGGCUCAGAUUGAACGCUGGCGGCAGGCCUAACACAUGCAAGUCGAACGGUAACAGGAAACAGCUUGCUGUUUCGCUGACGAGUGGCGGACGGGUGAGUAAUGUCUGGGAAACUGCCUGAUGGAGGGGGAUAACUACUGGAAACGGUAGCUAAUACCGCAUAAUGUCGCAAGACUAAAGAGGGGGACCUUCGGGCCUCUUGCCAUCGGAUGUGCCCAGAUGGGAUUAGCUAGUAGGUGGGGUAACGGCUCACCUAGGCGACGAUCCCUAGCUGGUCUGAGAGGAUGACCAGCCACACUGG